rnacentral:rRNA from 1 species
GAUGAACGCUGGCGGCGUGCCUAAUACAUGCAAGUCGAGCGAACAGAUGAGGAGCUUGCUCCUCUGACGUUAGCGGCGGAAGGGUGAGUAACACGUGGAUAACCUACCUAUAAGACUGGGAUAACUUCGGGAAACCGGCUCUAAUCCCGGAUAAUCUACUGCACCGCAUUGUUCAAUAGUAAAAGACGGUUUUGCUGUCACUUAUCGCUGGAUCCGCGCCGCAUUAGCUAGUUGGUAAGGUAACGGCUUACCAAGGCAACGAUGCCUAGCCGACGUGAGAGGGUGAUAGGCCACACUGGAACUUGACCAGGGACCUGACUCCUGCGGGAGGCAGCAGUAGGGUAUCUUCCGCAGUGGGGGAAAGCCUGACGGAGCAGCGCCGCGUGAGUGAUGAAGGUGUUCGGAUCGUAAAACUCUGUUAUUAGGGAAGAACAACUGUGUAAGUAACUAUGCACGUCUUGACGGUAACUAAUCAGAAAGCCACGGCUAACUACGUG